CAUAUCUCCAAAGGGGAGUAGCGUCCAAGAAAAUUUCUUGGAAACAAAGUCGUCAUUACGUAGAACUUAGUUCUUCCGGCUUUGUUGGCAUUUUCAUUACAUAUGUCUAGCAAGACCUUUGCCUAUUAA
rnacentral:misc_RNA from 1 species